rnacentral:rRNA from 1 species
UAUUCGGGAGUAGACAACAGGGAUUGCCCUAGUAACGGCGAGUGAAGCGGCAACAGCUCAAAUUUGAAAGCUGGCCUUCUGGCCCGCAUUGUAAUUUGUAGAGGAUGCUUUUGGUGCGGUACCUUCCGAGUUCCUUGGAACAGGACGCCUUAGAGGGUGAGAGCCCCGUACGGUUGGAUGCCUAGCCUCUGUAAAGCUCCUUCGACGAGUCGAGUAGUUUGGGAAUGCUGCUCUAAAUGGGAGGUAAAUUUCUUCUAAAGCUAAAUAUUGGCCAGAGACCGAUAGCGCACAAGUAGAGUGAUCGAAAGAUGAAAAGCACUUUGAAAAGAGGGUUAAAUAGCACGUGAAAUUGUUGAAAGGGAAGGAUUUAUCACCAGACCUUUGCCUGGCGGAUCAUCCGGUGUUCUCACCGGUGCACUUCGCCAGGCUGAGGCCAGCAUCGAUUUCGGCUGGGGGAUAAAGGCUUCGGGAAUGUGACUCCCUCCGGGGAGUGUUAUAGCCCGUUGCGUAAUACCCUAGCCGGGAUCGAGGUUCGCGCUUCGGCAAGGAUGCUGGCAUAAUGGUGAUCAAUCACCCGUCUUGAAACACGGACCAAGGAGUCGAACAUUUGUGCGAGUGUUUGGGUGUCAAACCCUCACGCGUAAUGAAAGUGAACGGAGGUGAGAGCCUUAGGGUGCAUCAUCGACCGAUCCUGAUGUCUUCGGAUGGAUUUGAGUAGGAGCAUAACUGUUCGGACCCGAAAGAUGGUGAACUAUGCGUGGAUAGGGUGAAGCCAGAGGAAACUCUGGUGGAGGCUCGCAGCGGUUCUGACGUGCAAAUCGAUCGUCAAAUCUGCGCAUGGGGGCGAAAGACUAAUCGAACCAUCUAGUAGCUGGUUACCGCCGAAGUUCCCCCUCAGAGAAACAAGUAA